UUUUGAUGCCUGCUACUUUCUUCGUUUUGUCAUAUUAUGGAUCUGCAUCUUGUCCAGCCUGCCUGUGUGAUGACCCCUGUCUGCUACAACAAUGAGUAUCGGAACGUCCUUAAUGAAGUCACUUCACACUUGCAACCUGCCUCGGCUCCUACGUUACAGUACCAGAGAGAAAAAAUAAUUUAAUUUUAACCAUAACGCACGAUACCUGACAUUUCACUGUCCAGCUGACAGCAGCACCAAGAAAUUCUCCUUCGUCCUACAGACCAUGACUGGACUAACCCACUGAACGUUUACCCAUAGGGGGGGUGUUGGGGCCUCACCACUUGGAUGCAUCCACAGCCGUCCCUUGUGGGUCUCAGCAGAGAGAGCGUGUGAAGGCAGAAGGAGAUGAAUUGUGCUUUCAGACGAGCACCGGGGACAACUCCACCAUCUCACAGGUCUAAUUAGCAUACCCGGCCUGGCCAUUAGUUCAUUAUCAUAGUAUUAGCAUAGCCACAUCAUACGGUGUGGCUAAACACCAUGUUGCUCGGCUGCAGCGCAGAUUGGCUCUGACAGCACGCCAGCGGCCUGAAUUACGACCAGUUACUGAACGCCAACGAGUUCGAGUGAGGAAAGGACCUCCAUGAUACACUGCAUAAUGCUGCCACACAGUUCAGCAUCAGCUGCCUUCAGCUGACCUGAUGAAUGGUGGCACUUUAAGAAAGGAUAGAGGUUUUUGUGUGUGUAUCAUUACACAUUACUCAUUCCACACCAGGACCCCUGCUGCCAGAAUCCCCAUCUUCCCCAGCAGCAGAUCAUUGUAAUUUAUAUACAGAUGAUGUAUUUUUAUGAGUUAAAAACUUCUGUCAUUUCAUUUAUUUAUUUAUUUAUUUGCACUGAU